GACGAACGCUGGCGGCGUGCCUAAUACAUGCAAGUAGAACGCUGAAGGAGGAGCUUGCUUCUUUGGAUGAGUUGCGAACGGGUGAGUAAAGCGUAGGUAACAUGCCUGGUAGCGGGGGAUAACUAUUGGAAACGAUAGCUAAUACCGCAUAAGAGUAGAUGUUGCAUGUCAUUUGCUUAAAAGGUGCAAUUGCAUCACUACUAGAUGGACCCGCGUUGUAUUAGCUAGUUGGUGGUGUAACGGCUCACCAAGGAGACGAUACAUAGCCGACCUUGGAGGGUGAUCGGCCACACUUGGACUGGGAAACGGCCCAGACUCCUACGGGGGGCAGCAGUAGGGAAUCUUCGGCAAUGGACGGAAGUCUGGCCGAGCAACGCCGCGUGAGUGAAUAAGGUUUUCGGAUCGUAAAGCUCUUUUGUAAGGGAAGAACGAAUGGGGGAGGGGAAUGUUCACGCUGUGACGGUAUCUUACCAGAAAGGGACGGCUAACUACGUG
rnacentral:rRNA from 1 species